AUGACGUGGCAGUUCCUCCAAACGCACGCAGCCCCACCCAUCCUGACACACCCACUAACCCAAGCCCACAACCCCACCCACCCACCCACCCACCAACGCACACACACCACACAACCACUCACACCACGACCACCCACCCACCCACCAAUGCACACACACCACACAACCACUCACACCAAGGAACGCACAACAAGCCAUUCUAACACACCCACGCACGAAGCCCACGACACCACACAUCCAUGGCCUGUGCGCGCAAGCAGGCCAUCCACGUGGGCAGCGAGCUUGGCGGAUGUGCGGGCGGGGAGCAGGGCAGCCGUGCAGGCAACCAGCUUGGCGGAUGCGCGGGCGAAGAGCAUGGCAGACAUGCGGGCGACGAGCAUGGCAGACAUGCGGGCAGCGAGCAUGGCGCGCAGCGGUGAGCUUAGCAGAUGUGCGGGCAAUGAGCAUGGCGGAGAUGCGGGCAGGGAGCAUGGCACGUGGUGGCAGCUCACUCCACUGUCGACUGCUCCGCACAGGAGUGCGGCGGCUUCUUCCUUCGGGCGCGCGGCGGCCUCUUCGCUUGGGCAUGCGGUGGCCUCUUCCCUUGAGGAUGGAGCAUUACGGCCACAACAGAGGAGCUCCUCCCUCCGAUGUCGUCCAACUGAUGUUGCUUGGCAUGCGGUGGUGCCCCUCUCUCUCUCUCUCUCUCCAAGAACCAGCAAGCACGGCCGGGCGGCGAUGCGGAUACCAGGGUCGGGCGAGUGGCGCGGACGCUCAUGGCUGUCCGGUGGCGCGGCGAGUAGUACCAGGCGAGCAGCGUGGUGA
rnacentral:rRNA from 1 species